UUGGAGUAGCUGGACCUCCUGGCCCUGUGGGACCAGCAGGAGACAAAGGGCCAUCGGGCCCUCGAGGUUUACCAGGUGUUCCAGGUCCACAAGGGCCAACUGGGCA